rnacentral:rRNA from 1 species
UGCCCAGUGCUAGAAGAUCAAGAAAGAUGGUGACUUUAUGACAGUGGAGCCGGCGAACGAAAUCCCGGUAAACGGCGGUCAUAACUAUAAUGAUCCUACGGUAGUGAAAUUUCUUGUCCGAUAAGUUUCGACCCACACAAAA